UAUUUUCAUAAUUCAAUUACUAUGAAAUUUGUAAUAACACAAUGGCAAACAAAUGUUUCAACAAUCGGCUGGUAGUGCAGCUUAUUCUUUGCAAGCCAGCAAGGCUCAAGUGUCUUCUGCGCACACCAGCUGUGAACGACGUUGGGAUCUUUCUCAACGACAUUCUAAGAGCACGUUGCGCAUACAAACGAGGUGACGAUCUUACAUGUCUAGGCAAGUGCAGGUCGUCCGAAAAUAGGCACCUCGGUGUGCUGUUUCUGAGAUAUAGUCAAAGGAAGAUUUUGUGAAGAUUGAUUUUAACGCUGGUUUCGUUAAUUUAUCGUUAAGCUUACAUUUUAUGGAAAAUGAAGAUUUUGGUAGAACUGUCAUAGAUUAGGUGUAAGGGUUUGUUUUUGGCGUCUUGUUUUUCGGGGAUUGAGGAUUCACCAAAAGUGAAGAAGAACCAUUGAAAAGCAACUGCAGUAUAUAAAUUAUUUUCUUUUAUAAACUUUUAUAAACGAAUAGCCUGCCAACAUGAACAUGAAGAUGAUGUUUGAAUUGUAGUAAUAUAGUUAUCAUAUUGAAAAUUAAACCAUUUGAGAUCAAGUACAAUAUCAUAACCAAAACAUAUUAGAUAUGGUCUUUUUAAAUAUAAUACUCAAGUGGUGAAGCAAUUUCAAAAAGAGGGAAUAACGAACUAUCUGGCAUUAUAUUGUGACUUAAGAGUUUUCCUCCCAACUGCUACUCUCACACAGAAGUGCUUGUCACGGCGUUUUGUACUUUAUUGACU